UCAGAAAACGCCAUUUCGGACAUUAACGUACCAAAUGGAGGGGGAGAAAACGGCGCAAACUUCUUAGACGAAUUGACUCUCUCAGGUCGCUGUUCUCCUGGAACUCGAAUUUUGAUCCUCUCUCUCGGCGUAAUCUCCUUCUGUUCAUUCUAUAAUCUUUCAUUUUCAUCUUUUCCAGCCUGAUUUUGAUCUUCGCUCGAGCAGUUGCUCUCCAGAACACAAGGCAAAGGACCUGUUCCAGCGAUUAAGGAAGGAACGCUUGUCAUAUUCAGAGUUGCUUGAAUUGAAUUGUUUGGCCGUUGAAAGCAUUCCAUUUCAUGGAAGGCAAUGGCCUGCCAUCAUUGGGUCGUGUGAAGCUUACGGAUUUAGCACCAUCUGAAGGCGUUCCUUCUGAGUCUUUUAAAUCAUCGGUCACAACUUUGUCACAUUCACUAGCUCAAUACUCUGCUGCCAUCAUACAAUUCCCUGUAUAUGAUGGGGCUCUUUUAAGGUCUGGUUUAGAUUCUUCUCGCCUUUACUUCCAUCAGAGAGCUGCAUGUCCAUCUGCUGAGUUGAUGCAAAACAAUGAUUCGCUGGAGUGGUGCAGAACUUCUGGUUACUAUAUGGAUGCUCAGGGGUGGCAAGAAACGUAUGAUUAUAGGCCUGGAUUGACUCAAGUUGAGCCUGGCAAUGGAAUGGAGAUACCACCAGCAGGUUUGCCAGAUAUAUAUGCAGUUUUUGGAAAGGCAUCUCGAAUUAUUUUGGAUGCGAUUAGCUUCUCUCUAAACUUGCGCAGCUCUCCUUUCACAGAAAUACUCGAUAAUGUUCCCCUAAGAAGUAGGGAGAUAUCAUCUUCCGUGUUGUCUGUGUGCUGUUAUGGGAGGCCCUCAUUUCAUGGCGAGCAUCACCAUAAAUUUGCUCAAGAGGAUAGCCAGUUGGCAAUGUAUACGUCUGACCAUGAGCAUCAGAUUGAUAAAAGUCUUAUUACUCUGGUCAAGUCGGACAAGGCAGGUUUACUGAUAAAAGAUUUCCAUGGUAGAUGGAUUCUUGUGGAUGGUGAUCUUGGUCCUCAAGAUGCUGUAGUUUAUCCCGGACUUGCACUCUAUCAAGCAACUGCGGGGUAUGUGAAUCCUGCUCUGCUCAGACCGGAAGUGAAUAAUAUUCAAGGUAGUAUGUAUGGACGAUGUUCCUUGUCAUUCAAACUCAUGCCUAAAUCCAUGACUAGCCUUAAUUGUUCAGAAAUGAGAGCAGCUGGCCAUGGGGUAGAUGUUCAAUUCCAACUUCCAGUACCAGUUGACGACUUUAUGCAGAGAUCACCCUCUACCGACCAACUCUUUAACCGCCCAAAUUUCCAGAAUUUCAGUUUGUCGACAUCCCAAGAGGGAUCCAUAAAAUUGAGGAGGAGAAAGAAUAAUUCAAGUACCAAACCACUACCCCCUUCUAAGAGAUUACGGCUUGAGGCACAGAGAGUUCUGAAGGAGAGAGUACAGGACAUCGCAGAUAAGAAGGGUAUCAAAUUAAGGUUCUGUAAUCUGAAGGAUUGUGAGAGUCACAUUCACAGGUUAGAUAGCCCUUGUGCCAGCACAAGGAUGGAGAUUGGAUGGCCUCCUGGAGUGCCGUUUGUUCAUCCUCAUGAUCUACCUAAUAAGGCAAAAAUUGGUUUUCUUGAAGCUUACGAGCCUGGUUGGUCAGCUAGUCAUGACAUUGAAUUAAGUCUUACUGAACCUGGACAAGUGGGUCAACAGUCAACCAACUAAAUCAGUUCAUAUUCUGUACAUCAAUAGAUUCUCAAGGCCUUGUAGCUUGCAACUUCAAAACCAGUUCCAUUCUUGGCCGUUGAUCAGCUCAUAAUACCUUCAUUCGGAUUGUUGUUUUGAUGCCCAACGUCGACAAAUCAUGCCUAUUUGCAUCUUGCAUAGACUGUACAUACAAGUUAUUUUCUGGGUAACCCAGCUUCAUCUUCUUACUUUUUGGAGGAUAGUUCUCGAAGAAAUCGAUCAGUUAAGUUCGUGAACCAGUAAUGGUAAUGGAGCGGGAACAACCAUUUCCUUCUAGUAGAGAAUUUUCUCAUGUGAGUCAAUCACACCUUCAUGUUCCUGCACUAGUGUAGCCAGCUGCUUUGGUCAAUAUGAUCUAUAAAAUUUGGGAAAUACGAUAAAGAGCAGAAAUAUACUAACUUUGAGGUUCCUGAAGAAAUAUUCCCUUUUUUUCUGUUCUUGAUACUGUUCCGUUUUUUAGCGACGUAUUGUGACUCGAGCUCUUCACAAUACGUUCUCUUUUGUUCUUAGCUUCUAUGAUAGUUUUCCAUUUAAAGUGUGGGAUCCUUGUGACAUUCCAAGCAAGGUGAUCUUUGUAGCCUUUCUUAAGCAGUAAAAUUCAGACUCUACCUUUUUUCUUGUUUUGGUUGCAGAACUUUAAAGACUGAUAUUUUCCAUUCUUCUCUUUACUACUACUUGCUAAAUAAUUUUUGUUUCAUAGAUCUUUGGAAGAGAACGAAAGAAAACAAGGCGAUCGAGGUAAGGCUGCUGCUAAUCUCCUGCCGUUCGUUCAUUCACACAAACUGCAGGUGUUCAACCUAGCUGUUUAUUCAUUUACAUUGGCUGUUUAUUCAUAUAAAAGACGAUCACGAUAUGAAUGUUCAAUGCUGCACGUUUGUCGUAGGAUAGGUAGUUUUCAUUUUCAUUCAUGUGAAUAGAUUUACAGAAGUGCAAUAGGAAGAAGAACACUCUGAACCAAUUGGUUCAACCUUGCGAUUCUGGAAAAGGAUCAAGAAGUUAGUUAGAUGAUGAUGUAUCUGUAUCUGUUUUUUCACUUGGUGUCAAAUUAAUCGAUUCACUGUAGGUUGAUUUGCUCAACCAAACAGAGUUGAAAAGAACUAUACCGACAUAUCCUGAAGUCGAAAUGAGUUAUUUGCACAAAUUUCCAGCAACUGAUCUUCACCGGCUGGGACGCCCCGGUGUUGGUUGUUGUGCUGAUGAAAGGGUGUAUAAGGAUUUAAGCUGCUUGCUGUCAUGGAGAGCUAGCUGAAGCUGCAAAUCAUCAGACCACCAUUUUUCCAAUCCAUGAGCUUCAAGAAACCUCUGUUUUCCCUUCGACAUCACAAACAACAUUGCUGCAGCUGCCGCCGCUUUCCAUUCCCAUUUGUGGGGAUGUGCGACCCACUUCCCUGGAUUCUUCAACAUGUUUAGAUUCGAUACCCAACUCCUUGAACCAGCUGCUGUUGAUGUUUUUUCUCCUAAA